rnacentral:rRNA from 1 species
ACGCUAGCUACAGGCUUAACACAUGCAAGUCGAGGGGAAACGGCAUUUAGUGCUUGCACUGAAUGGACGUCGACCGGCGCACGGGUGAGUAACGCGUAUCCAACCUUCCCAUUACUGUGGGAUAACCUGCCGAAAGGCAGACUAAUACCGCAUAGUCUUCGAUGACGGCAUCAGAUUUGAAGUAAAGAUUUAUCGGUAAUGGAUGGGGAUGCGUCUGAUUAGCUUGUUGGCGGGGUAACGGCCCACCAAGGCAACGAUCAGUAGGGGUUCUGAGAGGAAGGUCCCCCACAUUGGAACUGAGACACGGUCCAAACUCCUACGGGAGGCAGCAGUGAGGAAUAUUGGUCAAUGGACGAGAGUCUGAACCAGCCAAGUAGCGUGCAGGAUGACGGCCCUAUGGGUUGUAAACUGCUUUUGUAUGGGGAUAAAGUCAAUCACGUGUGAUUGUUUGCAGGUACCAUACGAAUAAGGACCGGCUAAUUCCGUGCCAGCAGCCGCGGUAAUACGGAAGGUCCGGGCGUUAUCCGGAUUUAUUGGGUUUAAAGGGAGCGUAGGCCGGAGAUUAAGUGUGUUGUGAAAUGUAGACGCUCAACGUCUGACUUGCAGCGCAUACUGGUUUCCUUGAGUACGCACAACGUUGGCGGAGUUCGUCGUGUAGCGGUGAAAUGCUUAGAUAUGACGAAGAACUCCGAUUGCGAAGGCAGCUGACGGGAGCGCAACUGACGCUUAAGCUCGAAGGUGCGGGUAUCGAACAGGAUUAGAUACCCUGGUAGUCCGCACAGUAAACGAUGGAUGCCCGCUGUUGGUACCUGGUAUCAGCGGCUAAGCGAAAGCAUUAAGCAUCCCACCUGGGGAGUACGCCGGCAACGGUGAAACUCAAAGGAAUUGACGGGGGCCCGCACAAGCGGAGGAACAUGU